rnacentral:rRNA from 1 species
AUUGAACGCUGGCGGCAGGCCUAACACAUGCAAGUCGAACGGUAACAGGAAGCAGCUUGCUGCUUCGCUGACGAGUGGCGGACGGGUGAGUAAUGUCUGGGAAGCUGCCUGAUGGAGGGGGAUAACUACUGGAAACGGUAGCUAAUACCGCAUAAUGUCGCAAGACCAAAGAGGGGGACCUUCGGGCCUCUUGCCAUCGGAUGUGCCCAGAUGGGAUUAGCUUGUUGGUGGGGUAACGGCUCACCAAGGCGACGAUCCCUAGCUGGUCUGAGAGGAUGACCAGCCACACUGGGACUGAGACACGGUCCAGACUCCUACGGGAGGCAGCAGUGGGGAAUAUUGCACAAUGGGCGCAAGCCUGACGCAGCCAUGCCGCGUGUAUGAAGAAGGCCUUCGGGUUGUAAAGUACUUUCAGCGGGGAGGAAGGGAGUAAAGUUAAUACCUUUGCUCAUUGACGUUACCCGCAGAAGAAGCACCGGCUAACUCCGUG